rnacentral:rRNA from 1 species
UACGAAGGGUGCAAGCGUUAAUCGGAAUUACUGGGCGUAAAGCGUGCGUAGGCGGUUGGCUAAGUCAGAUGUGAAAGCCCUGGGCUCAACCUGGGAAUGGCAUUUGAAACUGGCGAGCUAGAGUGUGAUAGAGGAUGGCGGAAUUCCCGGUGUAGCGGUGAAAUGCGUAGAGAUCGGGAGGAACAUCCGUGGCGAAGGCGGCCAUCUGGAUCAACACUGACGCUGAGGCACGAAAGCGUGGGUAGCAAACAGG